UGUCAUGUCCCACAACUUGUCUAUCAAUCAUUGUCAUGUCCCACAACUUGUCUAUCAAUCAUUGUCAUGUCCCACAACUUGUCUAUCAAUCAGUGUCAUGUCCCACAACUGACGGACAGGCUUCACAGUGUCUUGGCUGAAUGAGCAGGAAUAGGACACCUCGGUCUCCUUGGAAGCAUCCAUGUGGACUGGACACCGGCCGAGUUAGUGGGCGGCCGAGGGUGCUUGGUUGCUUUGUUGGGUCUGCUCCUGUCUCUGGCCAUGCUCCCUCCUCCCCAGCAGACGAUGGCGUGGAACACCGCAGAGGCCACCACAGUGUCUUGUGUUCCCUCUCACUAAUCCAAAGCCGGACAUGAAGCUCCAUCCAUCAUCCAUCUUCUUCCGCUUAUCCGAGGUUGGGUCGCGGGGGCAGCAGCCUAAGCAGGGAAACCCAGACUUCCCUCUCCCCAGCCACUUCGUCUAGCUCUUCCCGGGGGACCCCGACUUAAACAAGUUGAAAAACUUAUUCGGGUGUUACCAUUUAGUGGUCAAUUGUACGGAAUAUGUACUGUACUGUGCAAUCUACUAAUAAAAGUAUCAAUCAAUCAAUCAAAA